ACGCUAGCGGCAGGCUUAACACAUGCAAGUCGAGGGGUAACAUUGUGCUUGCACAGAUGACGACCGGCGCACGGGUGCGUAACGCGUAUAGAACCUACCUUUUACAGAGGAAUAGCCUUUAGAAAUGAAGAUUAAUGCCUCAUAGUAUUGUAGACUGGCAUCAGUUUAUAAUUAAAGAUUUAUCGGUAAAAGAUGGCUAUGCGUCCUAUUAGUUAGUUGGUAAGGUAACGGCUUACCAAGACAGCGAUAGGUAGGGGUCCUGAGAGGGAGAUCCCCCACACUGGUACUGAGACACGGACCAGACUCCUACGGGAGGCAGCAGUGAGGAAUAUUGGACAAUGGAGGAGACUCUGAUCCAGCCAUGCCGCGUGUAGGAAGAAUGCCCUAUGGGUUGUAAACUACUUUUAUACAGGAAGAAACACUGGUAUGUAUACCAGCUUGACGGUACUGUAAGAAUAAGGACCGGCUA
rnacentral:rRNA from 1 species